rnacentral:rRNA from 1 species
UACGUAGGUGGCAAGCGUUAUCCGGAAUUAUUGGGCGUAAAGCGCGCGUAGGCGGUUUCUUAAGUCUGAUGUGAAAUCUCGUGGCUCAACCACGAGCGGCCAUUGGAAACUGGGAAACUUGAGUGCAGAAGAGAAGAGCGGAAUUCCACGUGUAGCGGUGAAAUGCGUAGAGAUGUGGAGGAACACCAGUGGCGAAGGCGACUUUCUGGUCUAUAACUGACGCUGAGGCGCGAAAGCGUGGGGAUCAAACAGG